rnacentral:ncRNA from 1 species
AACGACUCAUCAUAGUUUCCUUUUCCACAUAAAUGAAUCACGUAAAACUGUUUUAACAGCUCUGGUAAAUUUUUUCGAAGGGCAUCAUUCAGAACAACUGAGCCUAAGCUACCACCCAUGACAAGUAAAACAGGCUUUAAUGUUGUAAAGC